AUAAAUAAAAAACCCUCUUCUCGUCUCCAUCUUCAGUCUUUAAUUCCUCUUACAGAGAAGCAAGAUUCCUUAAGUGGUAGCCAUGAUGAGAGGGUUUAGUUGGUGCAUCUUCUUGACCAUGUUGGUCCUUCUUGCAUCCGUGGAGAUGAGGGUACAAGUUGAAGCAAGGACGUGUGACACUCUGAGCCAUAGUUUCAAGGGACUGUGCUACGACAGCAACCUCUGUGCUCUAACGUGUAAGAACGAGGGACACCAUACCGGCGGCCAUUGCCGAGGAUUCCGACGUCGAUGUUUCUGCCAGAAACGCUGUUGAUUGCUCGAUCAAAUAAUGCAUGCACUGUUUCAGAAA